rnacentral:tmRNA from 1 species
GGGGAUGAACGGUCUCGACGGAGGUGGAUGCCGGCGGACUGCAAGCCGAGAGGCGCCGAGCUCGCUAAAUCAGCGCACCAGCAAAGUGCCAACCGCACUAGCUACGCGGCUCUUCCGCUCGCGGCCUAAAGCCUAGGGCGAACGAGCCUGCCCCUCCCAAGGGGCGCGCCCGGCCUGCCACCCUGGCGGGCUAGGCCUGGGCGCUGACAAACGCCGGGGGGCUCCGCCCACCGCCGCGAUGGGCGGCUGAGAAGGGCUCUCGGGCCCAAGUGGCUGGCGCGAUCGAGACCGUGUCGGCCGCGGUCCGAUCGGGCGAGAUCAAACGGCCGACUACGCUUGUAGAAGUCCGUCGACUGAGACUUUCGGACGCGGGUUCGAUUCCCGCCAUCUCCACUG